CAACAUGUCUUUAUUUGCUUAAAUUAACAAAAUAUAGGUUACAUGCUCUUUUCAGGUAAACUGCUUUUUCAGUGAAGCAGAAAGCAAUAUUCACAACUUGGGCUGCUAUAUACUUAGAGUUUUAGUUUUUAAAUAGCAAGCCAGAGUUCUGUACAAAAUCAACAUUUGGUGUAAUGUUGUCCAAAUAUGCGAAGGAUUUCAAACGUUAGCUCUGUUAUAUUUUGUUCCAGCAAAGCAGACAAAGAUCAUAAUUCAAAACACCAUGUUAAUAUUUUAUUAAAUGCGUUCAGGGCUUA
rnacentral:lncRNA from 1 species